rnacentral:rRNA from 1 species
GGCCAGACUCCUAGGAGGCAGCAGUGGGGGAUAUUGCACAAUGGGGGGAACCCUGAUGCAGCGACGCCGCGUGGGUGAAGAAGCGCCUCGGCGCGUAAAGCCCUGUCAGCAGGGAAGAAAAUGACGGUACCUGAAGAAGAAGCCCCGGCUAACUACGUGCCAGCAGCCGCGGUAAUACGUAGGGGGCAAGCGUUAUCCGGAUUUACUGGGUGUAAAGGGGGAGCAGACGGCGAUGCAAGCCAGGAGUGAAAGCCCGGGGGCCAACCCCGGGACUGCUCUUGGAACUGCGUGGCCGGAGUGCAGGAGGGGCAGGCGGAAUUCCUGGUGUAGCGGUGAAAUGCGUAGAUAUCAGGAGGAACACCGGUGGCGAAGGCGGCCUGCUGGGCUGCAACUGACGUUGAGGCCCGAAAGCGUGGGGAGCAAACAGGAUUAGAUACCCGGGUAAA